rnacentral:rRNA from 1 species
GUCCUUUUGAGUAUAAUUUAAGGUCGGGCCUGCCCAAUGAUUUAUUAAAUGGCCGCGGUAUAUUGACCGUGCAAAGGUAGCAUAAUCAUUAGUUUUUUAAUUGAAAGCUUGCAUGAAGGGUUUAAUGAGAAAAAUACUGUCUCUAUUUAAAUUAAUUAGAAUUUUAUAUUUAAGUUAAAAAGCUUAAGUAAUUGUUGAAGACGAGAAGACCCUAUAGAGUUUAAUAUUUUAUUUAGUAAGAUUGUUAUUAGGAAUUUAAAAUUCUUAUCAUUUAAGAGUAUUUAAUUGGGGUGAUUAAAAAAUUAAUUAAACUUUUUUUUUUACUUACAUUGAUUAAUGAAUUAUUGAUCCUUUAUUUGAGAUUAAAAGAUACAAUUACCUUAGGGAUAACAGCGUAAUUUUUUUUAGAGUUCUUAUCGAAAAAAAAGAUUGCGACCUCGAUGUUGGAUUAAAAUAAAUUAUUGGUGUAGAAGCUAAUAAAUUAGGUCUGUUCGACCUUUAAAUUUUUACAUGAUCUGAGUUUAAACCGGUGUAAG